rnacentral:misc_RNA from 1 species
GCUUCUUUCCCAAGCAUUUUGAUUUUCUGCUUUGAAAACCUCUUCAAGCUAAACAGCUUAUCUGAGUCUCUUAGCCGAACUAGGCCAAUCUCACUGCAGUCAGUUGAAUAUAAGCAAGUCUGCCACUCCAGAUCAGCAAGCUGCAAUCUUUCAAGCGUCAAAGUGUCAAAGGUUUGGACAGAUUCUGAAGAGAGAAUUGUUUGAUGGCCCCUUGCCCUAAGAUCAUCCUGUGAGAGCUUUGCCAAAGGACCAACAACUGAAUCAAACUUCUCCUUAGUUAAGAUAGCGCAUACCACAUCACCAACAGCAAUGACACUCAAAGAGGCAACUUGUUCCCCAAGAAGUGUCCAUUCCCCAAAGUAGCUCCCUUCACUCUUCUCGACUGUUAUGCUUUUUUUGUUCUGUAUAUCAUCCUGCUUCUGGUUUUCACACAGGAGACUUGAUGCAUUUUCAAAUUUUACUAAAUCCAUGUCAAAUGUAAUUUUUACAACCCCUUUCUGGAUAAUGUAUAGGCCCAAAGGUUCCU